rnacentral:rRNA from 1 species
GGAGUCUGGGCCGUGUCUCAGUCCCAAUGUGGCCGUUCAUCCUCUCAGAACCCCUACUGAUCGUCGCCUUGGUGGGCCGUUACCCCGCCAACUGGCUAAUCAGACGCAUCCCCAUCCCUUACCGAUGAAUCUUUGCUCCUCGUUAGAUACCCGCAAAGGAGAACAUAGGGCAUUAAUCCGACU